CAUUCUCUCUUGGGCUAUGUGUAGGCACAAUUUUAACGCUUUCAUAAUCUGAUCCCUUGACUUAAGUUCUCCCUUUAUUGACUCUUCUCUUGUUGUGCCAGGGAUGUAAUUCCUAAUGUGAGGGGAUGCGUACCCGUAUAAGGCCUCGAAUGGAUACAGCCUUGUUGAGGCAUGAAUAUUGGUGUUGUACCACCAUUUGGCUAAAGGAACCCACUUGGACCAAUCCCUUGGCUGAUCUCCAGCAAAACAUCUCAGCAGUUUUUAGGGCUUUUA